rnacentral:lncRNA from 1 species
AGGAGCUCUUUGAAUGGAGUCCUUUCUUGAUUCCCGCCAUCUUUCUUGGAAGAUUGGGAUAUCGCCACAACAGUAUUAUCUGGCUUUCUCUUGCGAUUUUGACCACCCGAGUAGUUGCCUCGGUUCUCAUUAUUAUUGCGAUCGUUACAGUUCUUGUCGUUGCAUUGGCCAUUACUCUGAUUAUUGUUAUUUUGGCCUCUGUUAUGGUUAGACUCGAACCUCUCGAUCUCCUUGUCUUAU